rnacentral:rRNA from 1 species
AGUGAACGCUGGCGGUAGGCCUAACACAUGCAAGUCGAACGGCAGCACAGUAAGAGCUUGCUCUUACAGGUGGCGAGUGGCGGACGGGUGAGGAAUACAUCGGAAUCUACUUUUUCGUGGGGGAUAACGUAGGGAAACUUACGCUAAUACCGCAUACGACCUACGGGUGAAAGCAGGGGAUCUUCGGACCUUGCGCGAUUGAAUGAGCCGAUGUCGGAUUAGCUAGUUGGCGGGGUAAAGGCCCACCAAGGCGACGAUCCGUAGCUGGUCUGAGAGGAUGAUCGGCCACACUGGAACUGAGACACGGUCCAGACUCCUACGGGAGGCAGCAGUGGGGAAUAUUGGACAAUGGGCGCAAGCCUUAUCCAGCCAUACCGCGUGGGUGAAGAAGGCCUUCGGGUUGUAAAGCCCUUUUGUUGGGAAAGAAAAGCAGCAGGUUAAUACCCCGCUGUUCUGACGGUACCCAAAGAAUAAGCACCGGCUAACUUCGUG